GAAGAAUUAAAUUGUUGAACCCUGCAGAUUUCAUCACAAUGGAAUAAGAAUGCUCUGUGGGUUAGAAGUUCACAGCCUGGGCUGAACAGCACUGAUCCCUGCACCUCAAGGCAGCCCUGUUAGGCUGGGGAGCAGAGGGAGCUGUGGCUUGGGGUGCCCCUCGGAGGUCCCAGGAGCGUGUGCUGUGGGGCCCAGGAGAAAGCUGGCUUUUUGGUGGUGGGCAAAGAUUGGUCUAGCCCCAGCUGAUAAGAGGGGCUACAUACUCCCUUCUCCUUAAUCAGGCUUAGAAGCAGCUGGGUGACCCUCCUGUUAGCAUGUUUUGUCAAUAGCACCCAACUCAGAUUACUUGGGAGCUUUUCUGAAACUUCAAGAAACAAUUGCUAUUCAGUUAGACUUGAUCCAGCCUCCUUCUUCCCGCACGUGUAGAUCCCUUCCGAACACUCCCGUUUGCCCCACCCCCUCUCCAAGGUGGACCCUUAAAGGCAUCUCUGCCUUUGUUGCCUCUGGUGUAAAGCUAUGUUUGGAGGCAUCAAACCCUGAGUGGGCUUGUCUUUUUCUUGCCAAAUGAAAAUUCUAACUUAAAGCAAGUUCAUUGAUUUUUUACUAGAGAUUUUGCAAAAAAAUCUGAUUCUCACUUUAAAAUGAAGGAGGAUUCAAGAAGUUAGCCUAAUUAAGAAAAGUUUAGAUGAAGUGCUUUUAAACAUAAUGGUAGAGGGAUAAGGAGGAGCUAUGGUAUAGGAAAGCUUUUUUGCAAUGAAAACAAACAGAAAAAUUUUGUAAUGAAGAGCGGUAGAAAAAAAAAAAACGAAAAACAAGUUCUGAAACCCACCCUUGAUUGUUGCCCUACCAUGGAAUGGAGUCAUGGAUGCUGCAAAUUUUGAACAAUUUCUUCAGAAAAGGAUCAAGUUAUUUGAAAAGCUGCUGAUCUCGGUUUAUUCCUAGGUCAUUGACACAGAGAAGAAAUAAGAAGAAAAGGCAGGGUAGAAUUCUAAAAAAGAAAAGGCCGGACUGAGUAGGCUGGACUGUCAGCGCAGGAGAAUGACCCUAUAAAGGACUUCAGCCGUAUCUUCUUCCCUUCUUCCCCUCUGAGACAACGACCCACGGAUCAUCUUGGGAAUUAGAGGAGGGAAGAAAGGAAAACCCACCUUAGGCAACAGAAUUUCACUGCAGCAAGAGGAAGUUGUGAGGGAAAAGUCAAAGCCCAAGCGAAAAUCUGAAGUAUGGCUUAGAGAAGCCACAAAUACGUUUCUUAUGGAGAAUCAGACAAGGGGAAAGCAAAGAAGACAGAAUAUUUUCUUGAACUUUUCCAAAGAGAAGUUUUUUUUCCUGUGAAGCUAGUAAACAUCUCUUUAAAGAAUGUGUGUGGUCACACAAGUUGAAGGACAGCAAAUUACCUCCCUGCCCCCAGAUGGUUUUAAAUGGUAGCAGACAGGAGGAGGAGUUAGGGCUCCCCUCCCACACCACAGGCCUCCCUGGCUCCAGGGCUGCUCUUCUUCUGCCGCCAGCUCUGGAAGGGUGAGGGCUGCUAUUCAGACCCAGGGAAUGCCUGCGGGCUGACUGACAGGCCCUCAAGAAGGAGCGGUCUGUAUUUCUCUAAGUGCUGGAGCUACCCCAUCUCCCUGUAAUGGCUCUGACCGGCUCAGAAAUACUAAAGCAACAGGCAUGGGGGUUCCUGGCAUACAAUAGACCACAAGUGAGCAGAGAGAGUGAAAACAAAUCCAGUGACAGGAGAGAAGAAAAUGGUCUCUUUUCCCAGAAACACAAGAAAAGAACACAGGAAGCCCUGCUCUGUGCCCUCAGCCCCCAGGAAAAUAUUGGUGUCGUGGGACUUUGGAGGUUGUAGGGCCCAAGUAGAGAUCUAAUUUUUCCUUAUGCCUUGAGCCAAGGUAAUAAGUAAAUAAGUUUAUCCUGUUUGUAGUGAAAGUGUCUGGUUGGGUUCAUUCAGACAGGGAAUACUAGACCAACAUUGAAAGUCAUGGGAACGUUGGGGAACGUUCACAAGACAUCUUUAACUUAAAAUAGGUUCACAGUACAUUGUUAACAUAAAUAAAAUGGUAUAUUGAGUAGGAUCCCAAUUUUGAAAGACAAAAUAAAGAACUCUCAAUCUGCCAAGUGAAAAGACCGGAAUGCCAGAUACAAAAUGUUAAAUGUUUUCCUCGGUGAUGGGAUUAUUUUCUUCUUUGUACUUUUCUGUGUUUUCUGAUUUUUUUC
rnacentral:lncRNA from 1 species